rnacentral:rRNA from 3 species
UACGUAGGGUGCAAGCGUUAAUCGGAAUUACUGGGCGUAAAGCGUGCGCAGGCGGUUUUGUAAGACAGUGGUGAAAUCCCCGGGCUCAACCUGGGAACUGCCAUUGUGACUGCAAGGCUGGAGUGCGGCAGAGGGGGAUGGAAUUCCGCGUGUAGCAGUGAAAUGCGUAGAUAUGCGGAGGAACACCGAUGGCGAAGGCAAUCCCCUGGGCCUGCACUGACGCUCAUGCACGAAAGCGUGGGGAGCAAAC